AGUAACGUGUUUACAUGGACUUACGUUGUCCAGCUAGAGUCCGAUUAAGAGGACGUGGCCUCCCGUGAAAUCUAUUGUCACAUCGAGGAGAGCUGUGCGAGAGCCGACUCCCCUGUUCCUGAGGUGUUUUCUCCACUGGAAGAGAGCGUGGAAGCAGCGUCCACAUCCUGAAAAGUUGGCAUUACAUCGAUCGCCACGUGACGGACUUUUCCAGGCCCCUCACCCAUCCCGUGCGGGGACGGGCUCCAGCCUGCAUGUGAAGAAAGCGGCUCCAGAUGCACCGGGGCUGUUGGACUUGACGUGAAGACACGGAGCACUAACUGAGAUGAGGCCGAGGCAUGAAGUCAUGCGCCUGACGCGGUGCUGGACGUUCCGGCUGGUGAAAGUGACUGUCUGUCUCCUCGGCCUGCUUUGCCUCCUGGUUGUUUGACACGUUGGAGCCACGUGGAGGAAAGGCCCUACCCUGAUCUGCUGCUGUGAGAGCUGGAGAGGUGUCCGUGAAUUCGAAGUGAAGGAGGCGGAGUUCAUCUUGUGUAAUAAAAGUAAGCCGGGAGGAAAAUGUGACAGAUGUGGAGGCCUGUGCCAACGAGAAAAGUGAGAGUGGGACUGUCAGACAUGUCGACUCCGGCGCAGUGAUGGAUGGAGAGUGAGGUAAGACAGAUGACAUCGUCUGUCUGAGGCCGUGUUGUCAUAGUGGAGGAUUGCCGCUUGUCUUAACCUCUCAAUAUCAGAGAGCAAACUGAAGUUUGUUUACACUGCUCCAGUGGAGUGAUUUAGAAUGAGGGGCAGAGGGAGACGUGGGUGUAGCUUUGCUCGCUAGAGGGUCGGAUCAGGUUUCUAAACAUUCUCUUUGAAAUUGAAUAGCAACCAUCCCAGGCGUUUUAAACUCAACAACCAUUUGGUAACAAUCCUCAAGGUAGAGAAACACAAAUACAAACAGAAAAAAUAAAUAUCGAUCGGU